rnacentral:rRNA from 1 species
AUGAGGGUGCGGGCCGCACCGGCUAGGGACGCGAGCAGGGCGACGAGGGAGGUGCCUUCAGCCGUGGAGGAGGCGCACGUCCAGUUGGUCGCCGCGGAGGAGCAGUCGCCUCCGUGUGGGCGGCGGCGCAGCUCGCCUUCGUGCGGGCGGCGCAGGUGGGCAGGGGCGCCGCAGAUUGGCAGCAGCGGCGCAGGUGGGCGGUGGCGCAGCGGCGACGCAGGUUGGCGGCAGCGCGCUGGGCUCUACGGUGGCUGUCGACGGCGCGCUGGGCUUGUUCCUGCCGCGGGCGUCCGGAGGAGGAAGAAGCAAAGGGGUAAUUAG